UACAGAGGGGGCAAGCGUUGUUCGGAAUUACUGGGCGUAAAGCGUGCGCAGGCGGUCUUGCAAGACAGAUGUGAAAUCCCCGGGCUUAACCUGGGAACUGCAUUUGUGACUGCAAGGCUGGAGUGCGGCAGAGGGGGAUGGAAUUCCGCGUGUAGCAGUGAAAUGCGUAGAUAUGCGGAGGAACACCGAUGGCGAAGGCAAUCCCCUGGGCCUGCACUGACGCUCAUGCACGAAAGCGUGGGGAGCAAACAGG
rnacentral:rRNA from 1 species